rnacentral:rRNA from 1 species
AUGGACGCUAGCCAUGUUCUUCUUGGGAGACCUUGGCAAUUUGAUGUGGAUACUACAGACAAGGGUAAGGAAAAUUCUUACUCUUUCAUUUGGAACAAGAGAAAGAUCAUUAUCUUACCAAACAAAAACGAAGGUAAUACCUCUAAGGAGGAGGGGAAAACUGUGUUAACUAUUUCCCAUACCCCUCAUGAGUUUAUGGAGGACUUGAAGGAGGCAGAUUUGUGUGCUGCACUUGUUGUAAAAGGAGAAGAGCACCUGACUAUUGAAAUUCCAGCAAAGGUACGUGGUUUAUUGGCAGAAUUUCAGAACAUACUUGGUGAGCCACAAGGCCUGCCACCGAUGAGAGGAAUUCAACAUAGAAUUGACUAUUCCGGGAGCAAGUCUUCCUAA